rnacentral:rRNA from 1 species
GGUUGAUCCUGCCAGUAGUCAUACGCUGGUGUCCGAGAUUAAGCCAUGCAUGUUGGAGUCAUAUGUGACCGCGGAGAGCUCAUUAUAACAGUUAUAAUGUUCACAGAGACUUGCCUGCGGAUAACCGUGGCAAUUCUGCGGCUAAUACGUUCUUUUGCGGCGUGUGGCCUACCCAGAGUCUGGGAUGCUGAUCAUCAUGAAUUGCGCAAUCGCGUUGCGAUGCUCUGUUUUGGUAUCUGACCUAUCAGCUGUUGUCGGCAGGGUAUUGGCCAGCCGAGGCUAUUACGGGUAA